rnacentral:rRNA from 1 species
GUGCUAAGGCAGCAUAAUCAUUUGUUUUUUAGUUGAAAACUGGAAUGAAAGGUCGCUCUUAUUUUGAUUUUUGUCGAACUUAGUCAUAAAUUAAAGUUAAGGUAAGAAUUCUUUAAUUUCCUAGGGGACGAUAAGACCCUAGAAUCUUUAGAUAAAGUUGUGCUUAUAGAAAGAAGCUGACAAGUUAUUUUACUGGGGCGGUAAAAAUAAAUUUACUAUUUUUGUAUAAAAGAUCUUUAAAAUUAAGAUAAUUGGUAAUAGUUACUCUAGGGAUAACAGUGCAAUUUUUUCAGAAAGACCUUAUUGAUGAAUGCAACCUCGAUGUUGAAUAAGAUGUCUAAGUGAUGUAAAGUACUAAACAAGGU